AUGCAUACAGACGAAUAAGGAUUCUGAAGUUAACCUAAAAAUAGUAAGAAUCUCGUGCACGGGUUAUACAGAUUAUACGAUGCACGGAGUAAAAGAAAAUUUACGAAAGCGUCGCGACGCUUAUUGAUUCUUCACGGUGCAUCCACCGACUACAAACUACCUUCCUAUAACUUACCUCCCGGCUCCACUCAGCAACCCUUAACAUCGAUCUCUCGGGUCGACGAACUCGGCAUCCACUGAUAAGAAUAGACGGAGAGAGGGGGAGAGAGAGAGAGACAGCACCAAAGAAGAAUCUGAUACGCUGACAUGCACAAUCUCUAUAUAUGUUAUCUCCAGCUUCCGGCAAAAUCUCUAACGGGUCCUGAUAACAGGCGAUACUUUUCACAGGGAUUAACAAUGCCGGGAUCAAUAAAGAUUUAGAAACUUUUAAACAAAUUAAUACGGUUAAUCGAGGAUUCUCGAACGAAAAUAGAAAUAUCAAAUUCAUAUAGAAUCAAAAUGAAAGGGAGAUCCUGUAAUGGAUGCUGUAUAGGGUGUGAAAUAAAAAAGUAAAAUUUUUUAUACCCAAUCAAA